UACGGAGGGGGCUAGCGUUGUUCGGAAUUACUGGGCGUAAAGCGCGCGUAGGCGGACCUGCAAGUCGGGGGUGAAAGCCCGAGGCUCAACCUCGGAACUGCCUUCGAUACUGCGGGUCUCGAGUCCGGGAGAGGUGAGUGGAAUUCCUAGUGUAGAGGUGAAAUGCGUAGAUAUCAGGAGGAACACCAAUGGCGAAGGCAGCUCGCUGGGACGUGACUGACGCUGAGACGCGAAAGCGUGGGGAGCAAACAGG
rnacentral:rRNA from 1 species